GAUGUGCAUGUGGUGGAGGUUGUGCAAAGGCUUCUGAGCCAGCAACCUCAGAGCUUCCUGGAUGCCGUCUGUGAUACGAUCAUGGAAAUUCUCUGGGACCAAUAAUUGCACGAUCAGCUGAGCUUGUUGUCCCAACCAUUACAUCAGAUAAUUCUAUUAGUAAACUCUUUUACUUAUUUUAAAUUUUCAUAUUUGAAAGCUUCACAUAUUUAGGCUUGGUCGAGAAAGGAUAUCUAGGGGCUAAAAAUUUAAUCUAACUAUCUAAUUAAUGGGUCGAAGAUGUCCAUAGCUUCAUAUCAUCGAAUAAAAUAUAUAGAAAUAAUUUGUUCAAGAAUCGGAGGAGUCUAUCAAAAGAUACACCUCCGUAUCAAAAUUUAAGUCUAGAAAGAAGAUAUGGGGGGUAAAAAUUCAAUCUAACGAUCCAAACAAUGGGUCGAAGGUGUCUAUAGCUUCGUAUCAUUGAAUGAAAUAUGUAGAAAUAAUCUAUUCAAGAAUCAAAAUAGUAUAUCAAAAUAUAUACUUUCAUAUCGACAUAUACGCUUUCAUAUUGAAACUUAUUAAUAAUUUGAAAAUAGAAUCUAUGAGGUAAAAAUUUAAUCUAACCAUCCAAAUGAUAGAUCGGAGGUGUCUAUAGCUCCGUAUCAUCGAAUGAAAUGUAUAGGAAUAAUCUAUUUGAGAAUCAGAGUAGUAUAUUGAAAUGUAUGCCUUCGUAUUGACAUAUACGUUUUUGUAUCGAAACUUAUUAAUAAUUCGAGAAUGCAAUCUAAG
rnacentral:lncRNA from 1 species